rnacentral:rRNA from 1 species
UACGAAGGGGGCUAGCGUUGCUCGGAAUCACUGGGCGUAAAGGGUGCGUAGGCGGGUCUUAAGUCAGGGGUGAAAUCCUGGAGCUCAACUCCAGAACUGCCUUUGAUACUGAAGAUCUUGAGUUCGGGAGAGGUGAGUGGAACUGCGAGUGUAGAGGUGAAAUUCGUAGAUAUUCGCAAGAAACACCAGUGGCGAAGGCGGCUCACUGGCCCGAUACUGACGCUGAGGCACGAAAGCGUGGGGAGCAAACAGGG